rnacentral:tRNA from 1 species
GUAGAUUUAGGUUAAAUUUAAACUUUUGGUUUUCAAAACUAAGGAUUUUUUCUAUU